rnacentral:rRNA from 1 species
ACGCUCGACACCUACGGGAGGCAGCAGUGGGGAAUAUUGCACAAUGGGGGAAACCCUGAUGCAGCGACGCCGCGUGAGCGAAGAAGUAUUUCGGUAUGUAAAGCUCUAUCAGCAGGGAAGAUAAUGACGGUACCUGACUAAGAAGCUCCGGCUAAAUACGUGCCAGCAGCCGGGUAAUCUGAGCGGGCUGGCAAGGC